GAUGAACGCUAGCUACAGGCUUAACACAUGCAAGUCGAGGGGAAACGAUAGAGAAAGCUUGCUUUUUCUAGGCGUCGACCGGCGCACGGGUGAGUAACGCGUAUCCAACCUGCCCACCACUUGGGGAUAACCUUGCGAAAGUAAGACUAAUACCCAAUGACGUCUCUAGAAGACAUCUGAAAGAGAUUAAAGAUUUAUCGGUGAUGGAUGGGGAUGCGUCUGAUUAGCUUGUUGGCGGGGUAACGGGCCCACCAAGGCGACGAUCAGUAGGGGUUCUGAGAGGAAGGUCCCCCACAUUGGAACUGAGACACGGUCCAAACUCCUACGGGAGGCAGCAGUGAGGAAUAUUGGUCAAUGGACGAGAGUCUGAACCAGCCAAGUAGCGUGAAGGAUGAAGGUCCUACGGAUUGUAAACUUCUUUUAUACGGGAAUAAAGUAUCCUACGUGUAGGAUUUUGUAUGUACCGUAUGAAUAAGCAUCGGCUAACUCCGUG
rnacentral:rRNA from 1 species